rnacentral:tRNA from 1 species
GGAGAGAUGGCUGAGCUGGUCUAAGGCGCACGACUGGAAAUCGUGUGAGCUGUUAAAGGCUCCGUGGGUUCGAAUCCCACUCUCUCCGCCA